CGUAGUCGCCUGGGUUGCCGCCAAGGCCUCCCGGGUAACCUACCACCCUUUGUUUAUUACACUUUGUUGCUUUGGCAGGCCUGCCCUCGGGCUGCUGGCUCCGGCCGGCGAGCGCUUGCCAGAGGACCUAAACUCUGUUUGUCUAUACUGUCUGAGUACUAUAUAAUAGUUAAAACUUUCAACAACGGAUCUCUUGGUUCUGGCAUCGAUGAAGAACGCAGCGAAAUGCGAUAAGUAAUGUGAAUUGCAGAAUUCAGUGAAUCAUCGAAUCUUUGAACGCACAUUGCGCCCCCUGGUAUUCCGGGGGGCAUGCCUGUCCGAGCGUCAUUACAACCCUCAAGCUCAGCUUGGUAUUGGGCCCCGCCGACCCGGCGGGCCCUAAAGUCAGUGGCGGUGCCGUCCGGCUCCGAGCGUAGUAAUUCUUCUCGCUCUGGAGGUCCGGUCGUGUGCUCGCCAGCAACCCCCAAUUUUUCAGGUUGACCUCGGAUCAGGUAGGGAUACCCGCUGAACUUAA
rnacentral:rRNA from 1 species